rnacentral:misc_RNA from 1 species
AUCAUGUUCACCAAUCCACCCCAUAAUCGUCACUCUUUAAUCAAUUUUCACGUCACCCCUACUUUUCUACUGGUUUCAUCCCUUUCUUUUGAUUUUCAUUAAAGACCUACUAUGCUUUGAAAUCAGUAAUAGACAAGAGAGACCAAUUCUUGUUUCUUGGAAUAAAUACAGGUGUGCUCCUUUGGUCUUUGCAGAGAUAUUCUCCUGUGGGUUCCUUUGAGGGGUCUGGUUCUAUGGACCUCAACUGCUUCUGGGUUGUCUUCAUCCUGUUCUCUGGCCUAUGGAUUCUUGGUUUCUGUGAAGACCAAGAUGGUUUCUUGAGUUUAUCUUGCGGUGGAACUACAAAUUAUACUGAUUCAUCCAACAUUCGAUGGGUUUUGGAUAGUGCUUAUAUAAGCACAGGCAACACAACCACCAUUGAUUACAUUGAGGGUACCUCUUCAUCUAAUGUCCCUAUCCGCUUUUUCCCUCGUACUGAUCAGGGUCGCAAGUGUUAUAAGCUGCCAGUGAAGAAUAUGUCUUCUGUGGUGCUUGUUAGAGCUCAAUUUGUGUACAAGGACUAUGACAAACUUGGAAAACCCCCUGCUUUCUCUGUUUCUCUUGGCACAGCCAUUACUAGUACUGUAAAUCUCACCAUCAGUGAUCCAUGGAAUGAAGAAUUUGUAUGGCCAGCUAGUAAGGAUACACUAUCUUUCUGUUUACAUGCCAUUCCUGAUGGUGGAUCUCCGGUAAUUUCAUCGAUUGAAGUCCGGCCACUUCCUCAAGGGGCUUACCAGAGUGGAAUGGGAGAUUUUCCUAAUAAGUCACUUAGAAAGUCUUAUCGUAUCAAUAGUGGCUACACUAAUGGUUCCUUGAGGUACCCUUUGGAUCCAUAUGAUCGUAUCUGGGAUGCCGAUGAGAACUAUACACCCUUUCAUGUGUCGAUUGGAUUCAAUAAGCUACUUAGCUUCAACUUGUCUAGUCUUAGUGAGAAUCCUCCUCUUGCUGUUCUUCAAACUGCAAGAGUUCUGGCACGAAGAAAAGUCUUAACUUACAAUCUUGCUCUUGAUACACUAGGGGACUACUACAUUGUCCUUUACUUUGCUGGGAUUCUUCCUGUGUCUCCAUCUUUUGAUAUCUUCAUUAAUGGGGAUAUUGCUCAAUCUAAUUAUACAGUGACAAUGUCAGAGGCUAGUGCUCUGUACUUAACUAGAAAAGGAAUCAAAAGCUUGAAUAUUACACUGGAAAGUAUCAGUUUCUAUCCACAAAUCAAUGCUAUCGAGGUGUAUGAGGUUGUGGACAUUCCAUCGGAAGCUUCCUCAACUACAGUGUCAGCACUUCAGGUUAUUCAGCAGUCUACUGGCUUAGAUCUGGGAUGGGAAGAUGAUCCAUGCUCUCCAAAAUCAUGGGACCAUAUUGGAUGUGAAGGAAGCCUAGUCACAUCAUUGUGUGUUCAUAUUAAAUCAUUUUACUUUCUUGUUCUAUUCUUCACCCAAUUGAGAUUUAUUGAUAUGUGACUCCUGUCUUGUUCCUUUUCCUUAAUUUUUUUCAUUAGGGAGCUUUCAGAUAUCAAUUUAAGGUCAAUUAGUCCAACAUUUGGUGAUUUGUUGGACCUCAAAACACUGUAAAGUCUGAUCUGCAAUGCUGUUUUGAUGUUUAUUUCACUUCCUUUCAAACUCCAUUUCUCAUCCCAUGGCAUUGUGCUUCAGGGAUUUGCAUAAUACUUCACUUGCUGGAGAGAUACAGAACUUGGGAAGCCUCCAAGAUCUUGAGAAGCUGUAAUGCAUAACUUAAUUGCAGUAAUAGAAGAAUCCAACCAUGUCCUGUUUCUUGAGAAAGUAAUACAUUUGUUAAUGAUAUGAUUUUUUCAGGAACCUGAGUUUUAAUAAUCUAACAUCCUUUGGAACUGAAUUGGACAAUUUGGUUAGCCUUCAGAUUUUGUGAGUUGUAAAAUUUUCCAUUUGUUUGAGUGAAAUCCAAUGUGUCUUUUACAUCCUUGUUAGGAUCUUACAACUGCACAUACAAAUCGUGAUACUAAUGUUGCAUUUUAAUUUUACAAUGUGAAGGGACCUGCAAAAUAAUAGCUUACAGGGAACAGUUCCUGAUGGCCUGGGAGAGUUGGAGGACCUUCAUCUACUGAACCUGGAAAACAACAAACUGCAAGGCAGUCUACCACAGUCUUUGAAUAAAGAAAGUUUGGAAGUCAGGACAACAGGGAAUCCAUGUCUUUCAUUCUCCACAAUGUCUUGCAAUGAUGUUUCAUCUAAUCCUUCAAUUGAGACUCCGCAAGUUACAAUCUUUACUAAGAAAAAGCCCAACAAAAGUAGUCAUAUGGCCAUUAUACUCGGUGCAGCAGGGGGAACCAUAUUUGUUCUUCUUGUCAUUUCUCUUUCACUAUUCCUGUACACAAAGAAACAAAGCAGUGGAGGCGCAUGCACGGACAGGGCUUUAACAGAUAUGCGAAACUGGAAUGCAGCAAGAAUCUUUUCCUACAAAGAAAUCAAAGCUGCUACAAACAACUUUAAGGAGGUUAUUGGCCGUGGUAGUUUUGGAUCUGUUCACCUUGGAAAGCUUUCUGAAGGGAAACUGGUAGCUGUGAAAGUGCGGUUUGAUAGGACUCAACUUGGGGCUGAUUCUUUUAUUAAUGAGGUUUGUCAUUUGAACUCCUCUACUACUUUAUUUGGUGUACUUGCAAGGAUGAAGAGGAUUCUGAACUGACUAUGCCAUUGAUGGACUCAGUUUAGAAUCUUUACAGUCCAUCAGACUCUGAAUUAUCUUCAAGUAAAUUGUACAAUACACUUUGCCUUUGUUAACUUGUAAUGCAUACCAAACCAAAUCUCUUAAGGAGACCUUUAUUUUUAUUAGCUGUUUAUGCAUUGACAAGUUUUUGUCACUCCCUUUUGUUGGUGUUACAUGCCUCUGUAAGUGAAUUUCUUAAAAAAUUGGGUCUAGAUUUGCCUUAUGUCCCUUAUUUGGAUUGCUAGGUGUAUCUGUUGUCACAAAUUCGUCACCAAAAUCUUGUAUGUUUGGAAGGAUUUUGCUAUGAAUCAAAGCAGCAAAUACUAGUCUACGAGUAUCUACCUGGUGGAUCAUUGUCUGAUCACCUUUAUGGUUUGUUGUGAAUCAAUAAGAAUCCUGCAUUUUGAAUCCAGUUAAAUAGUUUCUGUGCCUGAGAAUUUCCCAUUUUAUCUCCUUUAAGGUCCCAACAGUAAGAAAGUUUCUUUAAGUUGGGUUCGUAGGCUGAAAAUUGCUGUUGAUGCUGCUAAAGGUAUGUUUGUAUACUUGUAUCCUUCAAGUUAAAAUAUAGAAAUAUACGAGAGAAACGUGAGUUGUUUUUGUUGUAAGAAGAGAUUCAUUUCUGGCAUUUCCAGAUAGUAUGAUAGAUAUUAGCCUUCUAGCAUUUCCAAUCAUAGAUUUCCGUCAUUACUAAAAGAUGAAGUGAGACAUGAGUUUCAUUGCCAUUGAAGGAUUGGACUAUUUGCAUAAUGGGAGUGAACCACGAAUCAUACACCGUGACGUGAAGUGCAGCAAUAUUUUGCUGGACAAAGACAUGAAUGCCAAGGUAUGUGACUUUGGCCUUUCUAAACAAGUGUUGCAGGCAGAUGCAAGUCAUGUGACUACUGUUGUCAAGGGCACUGCAGGCUAUCUUGACCCUGAGUAAGUUUCCGGUUAUCUUAUCCUCUACUGAUUCUUGACAAAUGAAAACUCAUUAAGAUUCAUAUUUUGUUCAGAUACUAUUCUACGCAACAGCUUACAGAGAAAAGUGAUGUCUACGGCUUUGGUGUUGUUCUUCUGGAGCUUAUCUGCGGGCGAGAACCAUUGCGUCACUCAGGAACUCCAGAUUCUUUCAAUUUGGUUUUAUGGGUAAACUAAAGUUCAUUCCUUCAUAUCUACUUUUGUUUUGCUUCUAUUUUCUACAUAGCUUCAUAAAAAGUACAAAUUGUUUUGUGCUGUGAUGGCCAAAUACAGGCCAAACCCCACUUGCAGGCAGGUGCAUUUGAGAUAGUGGAUGAUAGCUUAAAGGGAACAUUUGAUGUGGAAAGCAUGAGAAAGGCAGCCACAGUUGCAGUAAGGUCAGUAGAGAGGGAUGCCUCACAGAGGCCUAAUAUUGCAGAGGUAUUCGCAGAGCUGAAAGAAGCCUACAAUAUUCAGCUCUCAUAUCUUGCAGCUCGCGACAUGUAAAUAGCUUUCCAGAUCAAUACAAAUGAGAAAGAUUUGUAGUCCUUGUCAAAGUUUGUGCUUUUUUGAAGUAAUUUGAAGGAAAGAGCUUUUAUGGAUGAUUCAAGUAAGUUAUUUAGCAGAAGGCUAUCUCGGAGUAUCUAUACAUGUACCUUUCUCUAUUCAGUCAAUGGCAAGAAAGAAAAUUUUUGUUUCAUGCAAAACACUUGCCAAGAUAGUGCUCUUCAGAGACUACUCAUUUUAAGUUUUAACCUCCCAAGCUACCGUGGUGGUGGUUGCUAGCCUUAUGGUUUCAGGAACAGAGAACCAGAUUACCAGAAAGUUGCUGAUACACAGAAAAAUCUGCAACUGGUGAUAGCUGCAGCUGCUCCAAUGGACACUAAAGACUGCUUGUUAUGCACACAUUUGCUACAUUUGCCCUGGUGUAAUUGGAAACUUUAGGUUAUACCAAGGACGUGAUUGCCUCAAUAUAGACUAUAUAAUUGAAUGCAACAUUUUGAAGCAUCCACAUAGAUUUUAUUGACUAGAAAAUGAUGCCCAAAUAAGGAAAAAACAAGAAAGAGUUAAAUUUUAGGUGAGACUAUAAAUGAGUGGGUGCCAGGGUUCAUAUCUCACAGUCCACUCCCUUAAUACUAAAAAGAGGGACAAAAAAGGGAAACAAGAAUGUGUUAAAUUGCCUCAGAAAUGACCUACUGGCAGACAUAACACAGGCAUUCUAUUGAUGCUUCUGAUAUCAUUUUGAGGCAAAUGCAGAAGGACAACAUUAUCACAUGCAACCCAACUCAAGCCAUAAUUGUUCUUGCUACAA